rnacentral:rRNA from 1 species
UGCAUAUCCAAAAAGCGGAGGAAAAGAAACCAACAGGGAUUGCCCUAGUAAUGGCGAAUGAACAGGCAAAAGCUCAGAUUUGAAACCCUCGGGAUUGUAAUCUGCAGGCCUGGAUUUGGCACGCUGACCAAGUCUCCUGGAACGGAGCGCCAUGGAGGGUGACAGCCCCGUAGCAGCAGCCACCGCAAAUCCGGGCCAACGAGUCGAGUUGUUUGGGAAUGCAGCUCUAAGUGGGUGGUAUGCUCCAUCUAAAGCUAAAUAUUGGCGAGAGACCGAUAGCGAACAAGUACUGUGAAGGAAAGAUGAAAAGAACUUUGAAAAGAGAGUGAAAAAGUACGUGAAAUUGUUGAAAUGGAAGGCAGUGAGGUGCGAUUGAGCCGGACGUUUGCGGGCAGGACAAAAGCGCAGGCCGCCUCGGCAUUGCCUGCGUGCAUACUGCCUCGCGGACUACCGGCUCUAACAACGCCUUACUGCACCCGUCUUGA